rnacentral:rRNA from 1 species
CCUACGGGCGGCAGCAGUGGGGAAUAUUGCGCAAUGGGCGCAACCCUGACGCAGCAACGCCGCGUGAUUGAAGAAGGCCUUCGGGUUGUAAAGCUCUUUAAUCGGGGACGAAUUUUGACGGUACCCGAAGAAUAAGCUCCGGCUAACUACGUGCCAGCAGCCGCGGCAAUACGCAGGGAGUCAGCGUUAGCCGGCUUUACUGGGUGUACAGGGGGUGUAGGCGGGAAUGGAAGCCAACAGUGAAAUCUGGGGGCUUAUCCCGGGAACGGCCUUUGCAACUGCCUUUCUUGAGUGAGGGAGAGGCAGGCGGAAUUCCCGGUGUAGCAGUGAAAUGCGUAGAUAUUGGGAGGAACACCAGUGGCGAAGGCGACCAGCUGGACAAUAACUGACGCUGAGGCGCGAAAGCGUGGGUAGCAAACAGGAUUAGAUACCCUAGUAGUC